GAUAAUUAAAAAGAAUAAGUCAUAUAGUAGAGAUAAAAGAGUUAUUUUAAUGCUUUUUAUGUGAUAUUUAAUACUAUUUUCAAAAUUAAAUUUAAGAUAAUUAACAUUAUUUUAUUAUUAUGUAUGAAAUAAAUAUUAAAAUAAUUUUGAAGUUUUUAUAAUUUAUCAUAAUUAUUAUUAAAAUACUUUUAAUUUUGAUUAGUAAUAAAUAAUGUUUACUACUAUUAAACAUAAUGCAAUGGUGGUACUACAAAUGAUUAAAAGAUAUCUUG
rnacentral:lncRNA from 1 species